GAGGAAUAUUGCGCAAUGGAGGCAACUCUGACGCAGCCAUGCCGCGUGCAGGAUGAAGGCGCUACGCGUUGUAAACUGCUUUUAAUCGGGAAGAAACCCCGGGACGUGUCCCGGGUUGACGGUACCGAUGGAAUAAGCACCGGCUAACUUCGUGCCAGCAGCCGCGGUAAUACGAAGGGUGCAAGCGUUAUCCGGAUUCAUUGGGUUUAAAGGGUGCGUAGGCGGAACAAUAAGUCAGCGGUGAAAGCCCGUAGCUUAACUACGGAAUUGCCGUUGAUACUGUUGUUCUUGAGUGCGUUUGACGUGGGCGGAAUGUGCCGUGUAGCGGUGAAAUGCUUAGAUAUGGCACAGAACACCGAUAGUGAAGACAGCUCACGAAGACGAAACUGACGCUGAGGCACGAAAGCGUGGGGAUCAAAC
rnacentral:rRNA from 1 species